UACAGAGGUCUCAAGCGUUGUUCGGAUUUAUUGGGCGUAAAGCGUCCGCAGGUGGCACUUCAAGUCUGUCGUCAAAGACCGGGGCUUAACCCUGGAAAGGCGAUGGAAACUGAAAGGCUAGAGAGAGGUAGGGGUAGAGGGAAUUCCCAGUGUAGCGGUGAAAUGCGUAGAGAUUGGGAAGAACAUCGGUGGCGAAAGCGCUCUACUGGACCUCAUCUGACACUCAGGGACGAAAGCUAGGGGAGCGAAUGGG
rnacentral:rRNA from 1 species